GGGUUAAUUGCCUCUAAAUCCUUAAACUAUAGUCACUUUCCGUUUUUUCCCUCAAUCUUUGAACUUCCCAUAAAAAUUCACCAACUAUUGAUUUUUCCCAAUUUUCCCGUGACGGAUUUUUCGGCCAAAUCCGUACACACGUGGAAUCGGAAUUAUCUGACGUGGACGCGCCGGAUACUUAAUAAAACGACGUCGUUUUGCGCAUUCAUAAACGACGUUGUUUUGCGCGUUCUUGUCCAAAUAAACGGCGGUGGCGGUGAGUUUGGCUUUUUGGCCGAUGUUGUUUGGUAGAAAGAGAGACGGCGGCGCCAGUGGGUUCUUCUCAGCCGGUCGAUGGAGGAGGAAGGCAGCGUUACUGCUGCCGCCGCGGCGAGGCGAUCCUCCGGCUAGGCGGCGUUACUGUUGUCGCCCUCGAGAAAGAUGUGGAGGUUGUCCGCCGUGAGAAAAGAAAGAAAUCAAGAGAACGACGCUGUUGUUUGGGAAAGAGCGGCGCCGUUGUUUGGGAUCCGGACUGCGGCGACCGACGUCGAGGAUGAGGGAGCUAGGGUUUCUGAUUUUGGGGGUUUUGGUAAUCGAGGGUCAAUUAAAGAGAGAGGCUACG
rnacentral:lncRNA from 1 species